CAACAAUCAAGCCUGGCUUGGUGUUGGGCCCCCGGGGGGUGACCCGGAGCCCCAAUGUCCGCCGGCCGGACGACCCGGACCCCAGCGUUGUGGUUAUUCAAUUCGCUGACGGGGAAGGGCGGCCGCGCCGUCAGUUGUACAUCAAUUCACGAAA
rnacentral:misc_RNA from 1 species